ACCACGAAUCACACCAGGAGAAGGAAAAGAGACCUAAGGGAAUUCAAAGAGAACAAGGGCUGGAAAAAAGAGGUGAGAUUCUGGAGACAUCUCUACCUGGGUUGAAGACACUGCUAAGAAGAAGUCAGGAAAUGAAACACUUGAAACCAAGAUUAAUGUUAUCACGGUAAAUGAUGGGGAUGCCAACUUCAUAGUCUGUAAGGUGUUCUAUUCCCUUUCUGGACACGGACAGAAGAACAGUAUCAAGAUUAUCUUCUGUGUGUCCUGGAAUGUUAUCACAAACUCUGAAAAUAAAAGACUAUAAUAUCACCU
rnacentral:lncRNA from 1 species